CGAGCCUCCUCCGCCUGACCGCGGUGCGGAACGCGCCGGCUCAGGCGAGAUCACUGUGUUUCGCAGCGGACGGGACCGCCGCGGUCCCUUUGCGGCCGCGGUCCUCGGAGCGGCGGCUCGCGCCGUUGCAGAGCCAAGAGCGCCCCCUGGCGGGAACGCGGCGGCGGUCCUCUAUGGCCUCUGCGUGCGAGGGGCUUGGGACGGGCGGCGUGCACGGCGGUGCGCCGGCUGGGAGGGCUCGGGAAAGGGGAAAUAGCAGCCAAGGUGAGAAAGGAGCGUACGGAAAGGGUGGCAGGGCUGGCUGGUCCUCACCAGAUAGGUGAGACUAUGCAAGAUAAUCGUUGUCAGCUUAACGGAGAUGAGAACUAGGGGAAAAGUUUGCCUCUCUCUGAUUUCUAUAGCAAUUACAAUUAUAUACUGUAUAUUUCCAUCAUACCUCCACACCAUAAAAACCACAGAACAACUGUCAGGGUGAUACAGACAUUUACUAUAGUCAACAUAAGAUGCACGAAUUAAGGAGUAGAUUAAAGUCCUACUAACUUUUUUUUUUUCCUUCACAAGAUCCCAAUUAAAUUAAACCUAAAAAGAUAUUAAAACAUAAUGUAAUGCUAAAAUGGGAUGGAAAGUACCGCAGUAAUAGCAGGGCAGCAGUCUCCAGCUACAGCAAAUGAGAGCAAACCCAAGUACAGCAGCUACAGAAAUGAAGGAAAAGAGCCACUUACCUUUAGAAGGCCUCAGGUAUGCAAGGAUCCCCAGCAAAAAAACCCCUCACCUCCACUGCCAACCCUUAAAUGAGGUCUGGGAAGGUGUGGAUCCUGGCUCCACCUCUUCCAGACAUUCAGGUGCACUGCACUGCACUCGUGCUCCCCUGGGUUUGCCCUGCCUUCCACCAGGUGCUCAAUCACUGCUUGAGGUUGUGACACGUAUAAAUGGAACUGCUUUGUUUUCAGUGAAAAAAGGGUGUGAUAGAAGUAACCCUAGAAGAAGGUAACAAUAUGCUAAGGAAAUAGCUAUUCUGGGGCACUUCAUUCCUCGUGUAGAUAGGUUGUUGAGAUAACGGAGGCACAGAUAGUCUCACAGUAGACUUCUCCAUGGAGUUUCCUGUAGCCUGUGUUUCUCAGUUUCUGCUUCGUAUUGAAGUAGCUUAUCUAAUGCAACUUUCUGUGUUUCAAGACUGCAUGAAGUCUGCAACACAAGCAUGCUGAAAUUGCAUCAGUCUGACAAAAGCAAGGUGGUAGAUAAAAAACAUCUAUUUGUAUUUGAGCUUGCAAGCUAGCAAGUACCUGCAGUGUUUCUUUUCGUAUUCUUUUUUUGCAUAUUCUGCUCUUAAGGCAUGCUAUUGUUCCUUAGUGGGUGUGUUCUGUAACAUAAAACAACUGAAAAUACAGUCUCCUUGGAGCUUACAUAAACCACUAGCAUCCCCCUGGAGAGCAUAUUUUGGGAAGCUCUUAAAUGAAGUGUUCUGCUGGGAGCGUGGCAGUGGUGCUUCUGUACCAACUGACCGUGGCUGAUGAAGUGUGAAAACUGAUGCCUUCUCCUGUGUCAGCAACAUUCAAUUGGCAGGACUGGGGAAGAGCAAUAGGGAACAAGCUGUCAUUUUUUUCAAGUAUGCAUUCAGAGUGAUAGCAAAUCAUAAUUUGGUUUAGAAUUGUUGAGUCUUAUACAAACAAAAUUCCCUGCUAGAUAAUUCUUAAAAUAGUAUUUUUUAGGUCUUAUUAUUGCCUGAGGUUGUUUGGUGUUGUCACAUCCUGAAUAGGCAAUUCUAAAACAGCACAGGAAUGUUAUAAUUUAUUUAUUAAAAAAUGUACUUGUUGCUAAGCUUCACUCAGUGUUUUGCAAGGCAAUUACAAUUCACAUUUUGCCUCUAUAUUUAUUAUGAAGUUACUAAGCUGGAAAAACAACAACGAAAACCAAACUGAGUCUGUAUUUAGCAAAUAGAGUUAAAAGGUAAUAAUCUUUGAUGUAUAACUAUGCUUUCCAUGUCAGUUGAUUUUUUUUCCCCAAAUGUAUUUAUAUUACUUGAUUUGAUGUCUCCUUUUUGGUGGCUCUUGUUUCUUCUUCUGUCUUACUUAGUUUAAAGAAAAAAAAAUCAUAUUUUCCAAGUGGUGUAAAUGUUGUGUCAUCUUUAACUUAGGAAGAAGUAGCUUCUGAUAUGCCUCUAUCUUAAUGAUUUCUUUGUUGUGGCUGAAGUCACUGGUGAAUUCUUUCCUCUGCCAACAUUUUUAAUGAUUAGAAUACAUCAGUUUUGGAAGAGACUGCCAGUUCUUAACUCCUAGAAAUAAUCCCUUAUUUUAUCAGUGUUGUUCACCCAAACAGAUAAACCAAUUAAGUAUGAGAAUAGGUAGAAUCAAGACCCAGGGUUAGGUCACAUUAAAUCCUAUUUUACAGCCAUUGCUUACUAUAUAGAUGCAUGCCCAAGCACUUGCAGUGGGAUGUGUUGACUUCUGUGUGGAAGUCAGUGCAUAUGAGAAGAUCAUUAGGACUGCAAAGAGCCACACACAAGUUACCAAACACCAGCAUUAAGGUUAAUUCUGUGCAGCGUAAUGUCCUUUGGUGCACGCAUUGCAAUCACUUAGAAUGCUGUAUGAUGGUGGAUCCUCCCACUCCAGAAGGUCACCCCUGCGAAUGAGACUGUUCCCUUUGUCCCUCACCUUCAGCCCUGUUGCAGUUCUCAGCUUUCUCCAGAUCCUCCAGCUACCCAUCUCCUUCUCCAGUGAGCCAGGACAAGGCAUUCUGGCACUCAGUACCUCUUCCUUCCUUCUCCUGCUUGGAUCCUCCCUGUUACUGCUCCUUUUUUUGCUCACCACCUGCCGUGGACCGCUCAUCACAGGAGGCCUGAAAGGACUGCUGUCUCCCUUGAACAGAAUCGUUGUGGCUUUCUUUAUUUUUCUUUAACAACCAUUGGGGGGUUCUUCUUUCACUGCUAUUGCUGUGCACAGUGAUGGGUCGCUGUGGGUAGAGGAAGAACGUCGCCGCUCUGGCUCUGCUGCUUGACUUUUGUCACAAUAGGGCACAAUGCCUGUUGUGAACAGGGGAGUAAGAUCUGAGAGAAAUUGAUUCUCCAAACAAACUUUUCAGAGGCGUAGCAAUAGCAUCAUUUGAGCUAUUUUAUUUUUUAAUUGGGAAUCUGUUCUCCCCUUUUGAUUCCUCUACAGAAGUUCGGAUCAGCUGUGAAAUAAGACGACAUUUGGACUUCCUGAAGGAGAGGGUCCUUUCCCUUCACAUUAACAAGGAGUCAGGACGUGAGGCCUGCACCUGUCUUCACAUUUCUGGGAGAAGUGACUGAAGUUCAGACAGUGAACAAGUAAUUGAGAACAAGCAUCAGAUAAACCCAGAAGCUGUGCUGCACCUUUGGGAAGACAUUCUGAUGCACUGAAAGACUUCACUCAUUGGUGUACCUAGAGAAGCUUUCCCUAUGGUUAGUUGCUGGCUCCUGAAGUUUGGGGGAGGGAAGAAAAGGCAUACUGUAUACAUUAUAACAAAUUAUCUGGAGGAUUUAGAGGAGUCUUUUAAGCAUCAGUUCAUAUUCAAGUCUGAUGAUACUUAAUAAUAAUGGCUCCUGUUAAAGGUGGGUGGUAAUUCCAUUUAAUGAAGGUAGUUACUGGUGACAGUCUUUUUCACAGAGCUCUUUUUAACUCCUGCUAUCAUUGCUUUUAUUAUUUCCUUGGCUGUGACACAUGCAUAGAAAUCUAAUUGUAGAUGCUGCUACUUUUCAGGAUAUUUGAACUUGCUUGUUAACCUCUAUGAACAAUAUCAUCCAUUUCUUCCUUUCUGUGCUAAUUACCUACCAACAGGUGCAAUCUCACGCCAGCAUACUAUUUAGCAGAGCUUCACGUCCUUGCCAACUCAAUGGAUAUAUUCACUGUUAAAAUGUGUGGCACUGUGGUUCCUGAGCACUUACAUGCAUUUUAUGGGGGAACGUUUGGCUUAUCGUGGAGUUUAUGGCUGCUGGGGAAGCAGCAUUAGUGUAAAAUGGUGUUUUCAGUCAGGAAUUCUUUUUACUGAUGAAAGAAGGCUUUCUGGUAAUAUCCAAAUUAAAAAGCUCCCAUUAACACCUGUAAUUUUGCCAUCUCAGAAGAAGGUUGCUCUGAUACACAGAAGAGCUGCACAGUAUAGUAAUUGCAGUUUACUUCUGUUUUAGUUUCAACAGAGAUAAGGCAGUUUACCCAGUCAGAAACUGCUCUGUAAUGUGAACCAAGCAGGGGUAAGUUAGGAUGAUUAGGAUAUAUUUGCUCCAGAAUUGGACUUCUCAUCAAAACAAAAACACUAAGCCACUGUUAACCCAAAGCACGUCAGUGAUAGAAGCGCAGCGCUUCUUUUAGAUCUCCAGUGCUUGACUGGCUACCCAGAAAAAGAGUUUAAAGAGCUGAACUCUCAUCUGCCUCAUUUCAAAGACAUCUGACGUCCUGUGAAGAACAUGAAGGCAGUUUUUACCUGUGUUUCUGUCAGCUCCUAAACUGGCUUAAAAUGGUGGCAGGGGUAUGUGUGUGUGUUAUGGGGGGGGGGGGGUGGGGUGGUAAAGAGACAGGAACCCUAAGAAGUCUACACAUUCUUAUGCUGGAACUGAAGUUAGGCACACUUUGGCCCAGUCCUUGACACCACUUCUAAAUACAAGCUUCCAUGUGGCUAGGCUGGUGGUUCUGAAGACUUGCUAGAAACACACGUCUGUUUCUCAUGCAUGCAAAUUUGGCCCUUCUUAAUUCAUUAGAGAAAGUCGUCCUAAAGAAAAUAGAAAAGAUGAAAUGUAAUCCCCGAAGUAACUUACAUUCCCCUAGCGUUAAUUGAACAGGAUUUUAAGAAGAUUAAAAAUACUUUCAAUCAGAUAUGAAGUAUGUUUAAUCUUUUAUUGCAAAAUCUCUUGUUGCUAAAUGUCAGGAAAGAAGCUAUUCUAAGGACAUGGAAAAGAACAGCUAAUGACUAAUCGAGCCUCUGACUUUCUCUGAUGCGAUAAAAAGGACAAAAGGAAGAGCCUACAGGAACCAGCGCAGCCAGACUCUUGUCUUUGUCCAGCACUGCCUUUUAAUUUGUGUGAGAGAACAGCAGGAGAGAUCACUUCAUGCUGUGUGUAUUGCUGGCAUGCGGAGUCAGGAAAAACAGACGCUCCUGAUUUGCUUUGAGAAUGACUCCCUAAUCCAGGAUGCUCUUCUGUUAAUGAAGCAGCCCCAUGGUGCUAGGGCAGCCCAGUAACUUUUGUUGUAAUAUUUAAAUCCUGUGCACACGGCAGCAUUUCUUGCCAGCUCUGCUCUGCUAGCUCUUGUUACGUUUAUAAGUGUGUUAGGUUUUCAGGUUUUCAUUUUUUAAGUUAUCCCAAUAAAAAAAGAGAUGAGUCUUUCUCACUGAUUUGUGAUCAUCCUGUUUUUGUCACAGUUGUCUUAUUUUGAAUGUAAAUGACCUAGAUUUAAUUUUCUAACCCGAAAAGGAGGUGUAAC
rnacentral:lncRNA from 1 species